CUAUCCACAUAAGACUUCCAACUUGUGUUUAUUCUUCCAAGAACACCCUAAUGCUCGAGCUGUUUUAUUCACGUUUAAUUUUCCCAUCAUACAAUAAUCAAGUGUGGUCUGGGUGGUAAGAUUUACAGCGCGUUUGGUCCUCCUGCCAGGUUAAGAUGUUGAGAGCUGGACACCAUGAAUAAGAGAAUAUUUUAGUAACGGCCACACCACUGGAACACGGUAUAUUCUCUGAGGAAAGUUCCCUCAACCGCAGACUACUGAUCAUUCUUUGCUGGAGGAGGGGUGGGUGUUUUCUGAUAAACAGCAGACUUGACACGUACUCACUGGAUCGCCUCCCACUGAGAAACACUGCUGCUCUAAGUUUAUUAAUUUGAAAGCAACAACUAAGCCAAGCCAACACUCAAGGAGAGGUAAAUCAAGUUCCAUCUGCUGAGAACGGGAGUAUCUACAUUUAUUUUUCAUCAAGACAUAUGAGUAUGAAUAUUUAAAACUACAGAUACAGUUUAUUCUAUAGCUAUAUAAUUAUGUAGCAUUCCUAAUUCUACUUGCAUCAGUUUU